UGGCGCACGGGUGCGUAACGCGUGGGAAUCUGCCCUUGGGUUCGGAAUAACAGUUAGAAAUGACUGCUAAUACCGGAUGAUGACGAAAGUCCAAAGAUUUAUCGCCCAGGGAUGAGCCCGCGUAGGAUUAGGUAGUUGGUGGGGUAAAGGCCUACCAAGCCGACGAUCCUUAGGUGGUCUGAGGGGAUGAUCAGCCACACUGGGACUGAGACACGGCCCAGACUCCUACGGGAGGCAGCAGUGGGGAAUAUUGGACAAUGGGGGAAACCCUGAUCCAGCAAUGCCGCGUGAGUGAUGAAGGCCUUAGGGUUGUAAAGCUCUUUUACCAGGGAUGAUAAUGACAGUACCUGGAGAAUAAGCUCCGGCUAACUCCGUGCCAGCAGCCGCGGUAAUACGGAGGGAGCUAGCGUUGUUCGGAAUUACUGGGCGUAAAGCGCACGUAGGCGGUUAUUCAAGUCAGAGGUGAAAGCCCGGGGCUCAAUCCCGGAACAGCCUUUGAAACUAGAUAACUAGAAUUCUGGAGAGGUCAGUGGAAUUCCGAGUGUAGAGGUGAAAUUCGUAGAUAUUCGGAAGAACACCAGUGGCGAAGGCGACUGACUGGACAGAUAUUGACGCUGAGGUGCGAAAGCGUGGGGAGCAAACAGG
rnacentral:rRNA from 1 species